CAGUAGCCACGGUAAUACGUAGGGUGCAAGCGUUAAUCGGAAUUACUGGGCGUAAAGCGUGCGCAGGCGGUUAUAUAAGUCAGAUGUGAAAUCCCCGGGCUCAACCUGGGAACUGCAUUUGAGACUGUAUGGCUAGAGUGUGUCAGAGGGGGGUAGAAUUCCACGUGUAGCAGUGAAAUGCGUAGAGAUGUGGAGGAACACCAAUGGCGAAGGCGACUCUCUGGUCUGUAACUGACGCUGAGGAGCGAAAGCGUGGGGAGCGAACAGGAUUAGAUACCCGUGUAGUCCCUGUCUCUUAUCC
rnacentral:rRNA from 1 species